rnacentral:rRNA from 1 species
UACAGAGGGUGCAAGCGUUAAUCGGAAUUACUGGGGCGUAAAGCGUGCGUAGACGGUUAUGUAAGUCGGGUGUGAAAGCCCCGGGGCUCAACCUGGGAAUUGCAUUCGAGACUGCAUAGCUAGGGUGCGGAAGAGGGAAGCGGAAUUUCCGGUGUAGCGGUGAAAUGCGUAGAGAUCGGGAGGAACACCAGUGGCGAAGGCGGCUAC